rnacentral:rRNA from 1 species
AGAGUUUGAUCAUGGCUCAGAUUGAACGCUGGCGGCAGGCCUAACACAUGCAAGUCGAGCGGUAACAGGCCCUUCGGGGCGCUGACGAGCGGCGGACGGGUGAGUACUGCAUAGGAAUCUACCCGGUAGUGGGGGAUAACCUGGGGAAACUCAGGCUAAUACCGCAUACGUCCUACGGGAGAAAGCAGGGGCCUUUUGGCCUUGCGCUAUCGGAUGAGCCUAUGCCGGAUUAGCUGGUUGGUGAGGUAAUGGCUCACCAAGGCGACGAUCCGUAGCUGGUCUGAGAGGAUGAUCAGCCACAUCGGGACUGAGACACGGCCCGAACUCCUACGGGAGGCAGCAGUGGGGAAUAUUGGACAAUGGGGGCAACCCUGAUCCAGCCAUGCCGCGUGUGUGAAGAAGGCCUUCGGGUUGUAAAGCACUUUCAGCGAGGAAGAACGCCUGGCGGUUAAUACCCGCCAGGAAAGACAUCACUCGCAGAAGAAGCACCGGCUAACUCCGUGCCAGCAGCCGCGGUAAUACGGAGUGUGCGAGCGUUAAUCGGAAUUACUGGGCGUAAAGCGCGCGUAGGCGGCGUGAUAAGCCGGUUGUGAAAGCCCUGGGCUCAACCUGGGAACUGCAUCCGGAACUGUCAGGCUAGAGUGCAGGAGAGGAAGGUAGAAUUCCCGGUGUAGCGGUGAAAUGCGUAGAGAUCGGGAGGAAUACCAGUGGCGAAGGCGGCCUUCUGGACUGACACUGACGCUGAGGUGCGAAAGCGUGGGUAGCAAACAGGAUUAGAUACCCUGGUAGUCCACGCCGUAAACGAUGUCGACCAGCCGUUGGGUGCCUUGAGCACUUUGUGGCGAAGUUAACGCGAUAAGUCGACCGCCUGGGGAGUACGGCCGCAAGGUUAAAACUCAAAUGAAU